rnacentral:misc_RNA from 1 species
CCUGGUCACGCUCUACUCGUCAUAAGAUGUGCCUUCGCUGACUCUCGACUCGUCUUUGUCAUUACAGUGACAAUGAUAGAUGCAGAAGCAGUGGCAGGUGGAAUUGCUCAGUUACCAUGCGACGUGGAUCCUCCGGUCUCUGGGGACAAGCUACACCUAGUUAUUUGGUACAAGGAGGAGGCUGACGCACCGAUAUACAGUUUCGACACAAGGGGGCAGAGCAACCUUGAACAAGGAAAACACUGGCAGAAUAACAGCCUCGGCAAACGUGCCUUCUUCAGAUACACGGAGCAUCCCGCAAAACUCACCCUCGAGGACGUCCGUGAGAGCGACGCGGCCGUUUACAGAUGCAGGGUCGAUUUCAAGCAGUCGCCGACCAGAAACAGUAAAGUCAAUCUCACGGUGAUCAUACCGCCGGAGCAGCUUAGUAUAUUGGACGAAGAUGGAAGGUCUCAUAUACCGCACUAUAUCCUGGGCCCAUAUAGCGAGGGUGCCUCCCUGAAUAUUACCUGCGUCGCUGCUGGUGGUCGACCGCAACCUCGAGUGACGUGGUGGCAGGAAAACGCUCUUCUCGACGACACCUACGAAACUGUUGGCACCAAAAGGGUCCGCAACGUGUUGCGAUUGGAAAAAGUGGGCCGUGAACAUUUGAACGCUGUUUUAACUUGUCAAGCCUCGAACAACAACAUGGUGGCACCUAUAUCGAGUUCUGUUACAUUGGACAUGAAUUUGAAGCCAUUGUGGGUCCGCAUGCAAGGAGAAAACCGUCCAUUCAGUGCUGGCACCACGUACGAGAUCAGUUGCGAAGUCGUUGGGGCUAGACCGACCCCAAAGAUCACAUGGUCGAAAGGGAGUACUGUGCUCAGGAACGCUAGACAAACGAUGAGCCCCGACAACAACGUCACCACGAGCGUUCUCACCUUCGUGCCGAGUAUCGAGGAUGCCGGCAAGUUCCUAUCCUGUCAUGGCAGCGUGCCGGAUAUCCCGGAUUCCGAGAUGGAGGAUGGAUGGAAGCUCGACAUACACCACGAACCAGUGGUGACACUAGAGCUCGGCAGCAAUUUGAAUCUGAGCGCGAUCCGCGAGGGUAUCGACGUGUACUUCGAGUGCAACAUCAAAUCGAAUCCGUGGGUCUACAAGGUCUCCUGGCGGCACAACGGCAAUACGUUGUUCCAUAAUCCGGCUACGGGAACAAUAAUCAGCAAUCAAAGCCUGGUAUUGCAAAGCGUGACUCGCAGCAGAGCCGGGAUGUAUACUUGCAUCGGUAGCAAUCAGGAAGGCGACGGUGAGAGCAACCCCCUGAAUCUGGACAUCAAAUUUACACCCGUCUGUCACCACGGCCAGGGUAAGGUUUUCGGCGUGGCUCGACAGGAGACCGCAAGGAUACCAUGCGAACUCGAAGCUAAUCCACCGGAAGUAACGUUCACUUGGAAGUUCAAUAACACGAUGGAAGCGGUCGACAUACCUCAAGCACACGUCACCAGUGAACGAACGCGUUCCACCGCUUCUUACACGCCCAUGACGGAAUUGGACUAUGGUACUCUUCUUUGUUGGGGUACCAACGAUCAGGGGACGCAACUCGAACCCUGUGUAUACCACAUCGUGCCUGCUGGUCACCCGGACACGCCGCACAAUUGUUCCCUGCUGAACCAGACGACGGAGUCGUUGUACGUGGAGUGCACGGAGGGUUUCGACGGCGGUUUGUCGCAGAAAUUCACGAUCCAGGUGGACCGAGAGGCGGGAACCGGUAGCUCGUCCUCGAAACCGACCGGCACCGUGUACAACCAGACAAGCAAAGUUCCGUCGUUCUCGGUGGGCAAUCUCGAGCCAGGCACCACUUACGAGGUGUACGUGUACGCGAGUAACAGCAAGGGUCGCAGCGAGACGGUCCAUUUCCGUGCCACCACACUGAACCUGCCCGAAAGACGCACAGCAGGUGAGAGGCUGGCGAAACCUCUGCCCCCGGAGAAUUGCACGAUCAUGGAAGAGAGUCGGACAACGGUGAGGGUGAGCUGCGCCGAGAGCGAGUACGUCGACCCUCGCACUGCCACCUAUGUACUGCAGGUGUUCGACGCCGACACCAAUCGUCUACUGGGUUCCACGAGUAGCAUGACGCCUAGCUUGUUCGAGAUCACGAAUCUUCCCGAGCAGAGGAGUUACUCCGGUCUGGUGCUGUCACUCAGGACAAUUACGGAGAACGCGAUGAGCGACGCCACGUUUCUUCACAGCCCGCACUAUGUUCAGGAGGGUAAGACACAGGAGCAUCAACGACACCCAGCCCUCACACCGGUGAUGCUGUCGCUGUCCGGGCCAUUGUUGGGCGCGGUGGUCGGCGCGACAGCGGGUCUUCUACUGGUGAUCUUCAUGAUAGUCCUGGCGGUGAGAUUACGGUAUCGACCGAGGCCUCAGGAGGACAAGGACUCUCAUGACGACGGUGGCAUGGCAAACCUGGCUGCGUCCGGAACCGGCAGUUCCUCUCCACGUGAUAAAUCGUCGACCCUGCCUCUCAACUCCGACAGCAUCGAGAGCUUCGAGAAGGACCCUGAUAUAAUUCCUCACGCUAAUGAAAAUUCUUACGCCGAGCUGUGCAAGGGCACUUCACCCCGCUACGUGCUGCACCAGCCACGAACGGACGCCAGUACCUUCACCACCACCAACAACGGAUCAGAGCUAACGUACGCCGAGCUGUCGCUUCGGGGCAACCGACGAAUACCUCCUAAUUGUUAUCAGCCGGUACAGGUAUCCAAUAUCCAGCGGCCUCAACUGCUGGCCAUGUCGACUCUGACGCGUAGGCAACCAAUCCAGGAACCAACGAUUUACGCGCAAGUCGCCAGUCAUUCUAAGCCGAUUUAUGUGCCGCCCCCACAUCCGUACAUGAAUCGCAGCGGCGACGAAACCACGGCAGAAACUCCAUUAAUCGGACACGACAAUAAGAUCACCACGAUCAGUCAAUCGGGUAAUUCAAUAUGGCGCACCGACACGCCGCCAGUUUCGAACACGCCAACGACAUGAUUUUAAAAAGCUCUUCAAUCGAUGUCAGAUUUCGCUCUUACAUGUUUCUCGACUCAUCCGUUGCUAAAAAAGUUAAACUCUUUAUAAUAAGGAAGAGGAGGAAAAAGAGAACGCUUCGUUGUGCGGGACAACGUUACCGAUUAAACUUUCUCUUUACGAAUGUUACGAAAAUUAAACGGAGAACGAUGAAAGUAAUUUAACAAAAAAUAAAAAAAAUGAAAAGAAAUGUUCGCGCGAAAUAUAGUACGAGUAUAUAUUAUAAAUAUGCUUUCCGAAUGAUUUGUGAUAGAGUUCGAUCUCUCGAACCGCGAGGUGUCGCGACAUCGAUUGUUCGUGUAGGAAAAAUUGUUCUGUUUCGCGGGUAAAACGACCGAUAGCGCAGCGAUCGGCAUGGUCCUGGAUAUCGAACAGCGUCAAAUUAACGGACCCCUUUCAGCCGUCCGUAACGAAAAAUAAAAAUGAAACAAGAUCUCGAGAGAUUGCAAAAUUAAGUGCCGCGAUUCAUCGACACGAUCGAUAAUUACGAUUCCGUUGCACGUUUUAGUUCGUAAGUGUAUAGGUGCGCGGAGCAGAAGUGAAGAUUCGAGUGCGCAUGCGCGGGCCUUAUUAGACUAUAUAUGUGACGCACGCUGCCGGCCCGCUUUAGUUCGGCCGCGUCUCGUGGCAAGAUAACAUCGUUGUGGUGUUCAGUUUGCCACUGCGGAGAUGAGCGCUGGUGUAACUAGAUUAUUUUGCUUAUUUACUAGAUUUAUUAAUGGAAAUUUGGAGUUUGCUGUAUUUGGAAAUUUAUGAAUGCAGGUUUGAAAAAUUGCAUCUUUUGAAUUUGGGAGAUUUAGGAAGCUGGGCAUUUAGGGACUCAGGGAUUUGGAAAUUUAAUGAUUCGAAAAUAUUGUUACUUGGGAUUUGGAAAUUUAGAAAUGUGGAAAGUUAGGAAUUUGUGUCUUUGAAAAUUUCUAACUUUUCUACACUCCAUCCCAGCCUAGUUACACCAACGCAAAUGGCUCUAGUUAAUAAAAAAUGUAUUAUAACGUGUCCCUACCUUGUUUUUAAUUGAAUUAACAAUAAAUUUCUUUCCACAAAAAUUACACCGAGCUUCACUUCCGCUCGGUAAAGCUAUAACGCGGUUGUUCGACGAUGCCCUGAAGUACAAUCAAUGACGGCGAAUCUUUAAUUGUUUUCGUUCAGUAUUAUGUUUGACGAAGUGUAAUUGUAGAGGUACGAUAGAAUUACGGCGGUAUUGUAUACACAUAUUAUUAAGCGUGCAUCGAAACUCGACACAUUACAACGUGUUUUUUCAGCAGCUUAAUUAUUUAUUGUUGGACAGAAAUGGCGGGAAAUUUCUAUGUACAGAUUUAGAUAAAUGCGGUGUUAUUAUAACAAUGUUAUUUAAUCGUGGAUAGAAUUUAAAUGAGAAGGGAAAAAAAUGACACAAAUUUGACGAUUUUCGAGAUAUGUAAUAUAUACGAGUCUGUUGGUUAUCUUAAACUCAUUCUGUAUGUAUGUACGGUCGUUGCUCAGUUCGAAAGCUUUAACCGUCCUGAGGGAGGAAAUGAUUCUUUUUUUUUCUUGAACGGAAUAGUUACCCGCUACUUAUGUAAUCUUUAUUUAGCCUAGAGCGUUUAAGUUAGAAUGUUGGUAAGGUGAUCGUGUGGAAAGGAGGGAAAGGAUUUGAUCCUUUUAGUUCUCUUUUCUUUAGAAUUGUUAGAACAGGGAUUUUCAAAUCUUUUUGGGUCGAGAUUCACUUUUGGAGGUGGUAAUUUUGAUCCAUUGUAAUUUCUUACUUUUGUAAGUCCAAACACUCAGAUUUCUAAUUGUCCCAGAUCCCAAAGUUGCAGAAUCUAGCCUCUAAAUUUCUGAAGUUGGUCCUGAAAUUAUGAAGUCCCUAAUUAUCAGAUUUCCAAUUUUGAAAGAUUCCAAAGUUAUAAAAUCCUAAACUGAUAAAUUGCUAAAGUGACUUGGUCCCAGCGUUGCAAAGUCCCAAAUUAUCAGAUCUCCCAAACUUGCAGAGUCCUAAACUUCACAGUCCACAAGUGAAUCAAGAGCCACUCUUUGAUGAUCCCUGUGUUAGAGUUUUAUACGUAGAAGCUCUAUUGCAACCAAAGUAUCAGUUUUUUAAUAACAAAGUUUACAUUAACGCAUUGAACAAUAUUUUAUAUACUUACUACUUUACACUAGUUUUACUACUAUGUUUAUAUUAAUUACUAAUUUCACUAAUAUUAGUCUAAAUAAUGAUUUGGCUUAUAAGAUGCUUAUUAACUCUUUAUUUUCCAUAUGUAUUAUAGGGGAAAAGUGGUAGUUAAAGAUAUGAUCACCCUACGUUAUAGACAGGUUGCCUGCUAGAGGAUUGCACGUUUGAAGAAGAAGAACGACGAAUCGUGACGAGAAUAGAAUUCACGAACGCUUCGUCGUGUUUCGUGCGGAAACGGAAGACUGAGAAUAGGAAAAUGGAAAAAGGAAGAAGUGUGCAAAGUUUAUAUUACGUAAUACGUGCCAUACCAUUGCAGUGCCAUUGCACUGUGCAUCGAAGUAAUUGGGGAUUGUUGCAGAAUAUAGCAUGCUCAAAUCUGAAGAUUGGUUGCUGUAUUUUGUUUGAGGAAGCUCGCCAUCGAGUCGUGCAACACUUCGUUGAAAACGAUUCGAGUUAACGAAUGGUCGUUUGUACGGAUAAACCGAAUUCGAAUAUUUUUAAGCUCGCGUUUCUUGCAAACGACUAUCGAUACUGUAGUUCUAACAUACCAUUACUGUUACUUUAAUAAACGACACCUACGUCUACCUAUGUCCCUGGCAUCCAGUUACGAAGUUUCUUCCAUUCGAUCGAUUCUGAAUUUUCUCGAUAAGCUCGAUUCACGAUAUGAAUUUUAUACCACUUUUUAUAAAUCGAAAGUUCUAGCCAAUGUUGUACGAAACGACAAGCGUUCACGGACAUUUUACGGUUACAUACGAUGUUUAAUCUCUAUCUCCGCGUGAUCGUUUCCCGAGAUAGCGUGUAAUUAAUGUGAAAUACCGAAUGUUCGAAAGUCGAACGGUUCGCGAACGAACUGUUUGCCGGCGAAAUUUUUCUUAAUGAUCACGAACUAAUCAGGGUUUUUCGAGUAAGUACACGAACGAAAAUUUACACUUUCGAAUGUUCUUUAAGGCUAUCAAAUUGUUCGCACAUACGAAAUAGAAAUACAAGAUUGAAUUAUAUACCAGUGUGAAAAUGAAUGCGACGUAGAAGAAACGAUGGAAAUACGAUUUAGAAAAAAAAGAUGAAACAAGAUAUAAGCGAGGAGAGAGAGGAAAAAAAAAUAGGGAAAGAUGGAGAAAUAUUCAGUAUUUUGUCAAAAACUUAUAUUACCAGUGUAACAAAAGACUUUGAUAUAUUGUUAGUAUGCGUUGUAGGUAUUACAGAAUGAAUUUAAAUAUAAAUAUACACGAUACAAGCAUACGCAUCUUAUAAAUGUGUGUAUGUGUAAGAGAUAAUUAAGAUCUUAUAAUUUUAAAUGACUUUUAAUAUAGGUUUACUUGUGUAAAAUAAGAAACAAAAAUAAUUGUGCUCAAUAAAUUUCAAUAAAUAACGAUUUUGCCUAUGCCAAUAACGAUUAUUAUUGUAAUUAUUUUUGUAUAGAGACGUAAGAUGAUAUUAUCUGAUUAUUAUUAUAAAUACAUUAUACAUAUACAUAUAUUAGGAAUUACAGCAUAUGUGUAAUAAAAGUAU